rnacentral:rRNA from 1 species
AGUGGAUGGGGAGCAACCUAGUUGCGCGUGUGUAAAGGUAGUGCCAAGAAAAGCGGUGAUCAUGAUGAAAAUCAAUUCCCGGUACCCGAAACCGACACAGGUGGGCAAGUAGAGAAUACUAAGGGGCGCGAGGUAACUCUCUCCAAGGAACUCGGCAAAAUGACCCCGUAACUUAGGGAGAAGGGGUGCCACCGAGAGGUGGUCGCAGUGAAGAGGCCCAGGCGACUGUUUAGCAAAAACAUAGGUCUCUGCAAACUCGAAAGAGGAGGUAUAGGGGCUGACGCCUGCCCAGUGCCGGAAGGUUAAAGAAGUUGGUCAGUCUUAGGAUAAAGCUAGCGACUGAAGCCCCGGUGAACGGCGGCCGUAACUAUAACGGUCCUAAGGUAGCGAAAUUCCUUCGGGUAAGUUCCGACCCGCACGAAAGGCGUAACGAUCUGGGCGCUGUCUCGGAGAGAGGCUCGGCGAAAUAGGAUUGUCUGUGAAGAUACGGACUACCUGCAUUUGGACAGAAAGACCCUAUGAAGCUUUACUAUAGCUUGGAAUUGUGUUCGGGCUUCCUGUGCGCAGGAUAGGUGGGAGGCGAAGAAGGUAUUCUUGUGGGGAUACUGGAGCCAACGGUGUGAUACCACUCUCAGGAGGCUAGAAUUCUAACUUAAUUAAGGACAGUUUCAGGUGGGUAGUUUGACUGGGGCGGUCGCCUCCAAAAAGGUAACGGAGGCGUACAAAGGUUCUCUCAGACUGGUUGGAAAUCAGUCGCAGAGUGCAAAGGCAGAAGGGAGCUUGACUGCGAGAAGUACAGUUCGAGCAGGGUGGAAACACGGUCUUAGUGAUCCGACGGUGCUGUGUGGAAGGGCCGUCGCUCAACGGAUAAAAGUUACUCUAAGGAUAACAGGCUGAUCUCCCCCAAGAGUUCACAUCGACGGGGAGGUUUGGCACCUCGAUGUCGGCUCAUCGCAACCUGGGGCGGAAGUACGUCCCAAGGGUUGGGCUGUUCGCCCAUUAAAGCGGUACGUGAGCUGGGUUCAGAACGUCGUGAGACAGUUCGGUCCAUAUCCGAUGUAGGCGUGAGAAUAUUGAGAGGAGCCUUCCUUAGUACGAGAGGACCGGGAAGGACGCACCGCUGGUGUACCUGUUAUGAUGCCAAUUGUAAACGCAGGGUAGCCAAGUGCGGAGAGGAUAACCGCUGAAAGCAUCUAAGUGGGAAGCCCACCUCAAGAUGAGUAUUCUGGUGUAAGGUCACGGGAAGACGACCCGUAAAUAGGCACGAGGUGGAAGUGCAGAGAUGUAUGAAGCCGAAGUGUACUAAUAGACCGUCGGCUUGACC